AUUCCAGCUCCAGUAGCGUAUAUUGAUGUUGUUGCAGUUAAAAAGCUCGUAGUUGGAUUUCUGACUUGACGCGCCUGGCCCGCCUUGCAUUUCGCGGGUGAGUGCCGGAGCGCGUCGGUCAUCCUUCUAGAGAACGGCGCUACCCUUCACUGGGUCGGCGUCGCAAUCUAGAUCUUUUACUUUGAAAAAAUUAGAGUGUUCAAGGCAGGCUCGCGCUGUGAAUACAUUAGCAUGGAAUAAUAAUCUAGGACUUUGUUCCUAUUUUGUUGGUUUCUAGGAAUUAAGUAAUGAUUGAUAGGGAUAGUUGGGGGUGCUAGUAUUCAGCGGCCAGAGGUGAAAUUCUUGGAUUCGCUGAAGACUAACUUAUGCGAAAGCAUUCACCAAGGAUGUCUUCAUCG
rnacentral:rRNA from 1 species